AGGGCGGUAUUUAGGGAUGUCAAUAGGUAUGAAUAUCCGAAAUGUUAUCCGAACCUAAAUAUGAAUUAAACGGAUUAUCCGAUACUAAAUUGAUAUGGAUUUGGAUAUGAAUAUCAAAAAUAGCAACCCGACGGAUAUGAAUUCGGAUAUGGAUUUUGACUGUACCGGACCCGAACCGAAUCCAAAUCUGAACCCGAAUUUAUUUUGUAUUA
rnacentral:lncRNA from 1 species